rnacentral:lncRNA from 1 species
ACCCUCCCGCAUCAGCACCGGCUGGGUGGGUGCGGAGUGCGCCAGCGGCCAAGUCAAGACUCCUUGAAUGCUCAGGAAGGUGUGACUUGCAGAGGAGUUGAUUCCUUCUUAUGUACAUUUACUGGAGAAGUUUACAGCAGGAGACUGGGGUCUGAGACACACGCAUCUUUGUGUGCCCCAAAGAAUAAAGCCCUCAAAGGAUGUGAAGCCUGAACUCACUUCAAAUGCUGGAAAGGCCCUUUCCUUAGCUGAGCUGUGGAGGAACCAGGACUCCUGUGGCACUGCCCUAACGAGGAGGCAGUGCUGCCAGAUUCAGAAAAAUAUUUGAAGAAUCACAUAGUCAAAAGCAAAAAUCCAGAAAUGGUCAAGAGAACUACGAUUAUUGAGCCUCACUGAGUGUUCACACUGGUCUGCAAGACAGCUUUGAUUCAGCUGAUUUCAGCCAGGCUCACCCCGACUUUGCAGGGCGCUGCGAACCCCAGCCUUCAGGUCGGGUUCAGCAUCCAGCAGUGCCCUGGAAAAGUGGCUGUGAAGUUACUUGCAAGACUGCAUUGAACCCGGGCGAGACACUUCUCAGGGGAGCUGUCCAGCUACAUUCUCUGAGUGAAGACAAGGAAUGCAAAGCUCACGGAUGCCGAGGAAUUUAUCCAAGAUCACUGUGAUGGGAUGGGAACUUUGGUUUUCAGCCUUUAAAUACAUUGGUGCAGAAGUCCAAGAAAGAUGCUUGGAAAGACCUAGUGAGAUGAAGAUCUCACUAUGUUGCCUGGGCUGGUCUUGAAUUCCUGAGCUCAAGUGAUCCUCCAACCUUGGCCUCCCAAAGUGAUGGAAUUACAGGCGUGAGUCACUGCACCUGGCUGAUACCAUUAUUUUUAAAGUUGGUUUCUUAUAGAUGACAUAAAAUUGGAUCUCCCCUCCCCUACAUUCAAUCUGACCGUUUCUGACUUUGAAUUGAUGUGUUUAAACCACUUACAUUAAUUAUUGAUACAGUUGAAUUUAGGCUACCCUUUUCUUAUUUGUUUUCUGCAUAUCUUCUCUGUUUUUCAUUUUUCUCUUUCCCCCUU